rnacentral:rRNA from 1 species
GAUGAACGCUGGCGGCGUGCCUAAUACAUGCAAGUCGAGCGAACAGACGAGGAGCUUGCUCCUCUGACGUUAGCGGCGGACGGGUGAGUAACACGUGGAUAACCUACCUAUAAGACUGGGAUAACUUCGGGAAACCGGAGCUAAUACCGGAUAAUAUAUUGAACCGCAUGGUUCAAUAGUGAAAGACGGUUUUGCUGUCACUUAUAGAUGGAUCCGCGCCGCAUUAGCUAGUUGGUAAGGUAACGGCUUACCAAGGCAACGAUGCGUAGCCGACCUGAGAGGGGGAUCGGCCACACUGGAACUGAGACACGGUCCAUGCUCCUACGGGAGGCAGCAGUAUGGAAUCUUCCGCAAUGGGCGAAAGCCUGACGGAGCAACGCCGCGUGAGUGAUGAAGGUCUUCGGAUCGUAAAACUCUGUUAUUAGGGAAGAACAAAUGUGUAAGUAACUAUGCACGUCUUGACGGUACCUAAUCAGAAAGCCACGGCUAACUACGUG